UCCGGUUCAUCACCGGCGGUCUCCUUAGAGUCCCCAACUUAAUGAUGGCAACUAAGGACAAGGGUUGCGCUCGUUACGGGACUUAACCCAACAUCUCACAACACGAGCUGACGACAGCCAUGCAGCACCUGUCUCUGCGCUCCUUUCGGCACUCCCAACUCUCAUCGGGAUUCGCAGGAUGUCAAGGGUAGGUAAGGUUCUUCGCGUUGCAUCGAAUUAAACCACAUGCUCCACCGCUUGUGCGGGCCCCCGUCAAUUUCUUUGAGUUUCAACCUUGCGGCUGUACUUCCCAGGCGGAGAACUUAUCGCGUUAGCUUCAAUACUGCCUGGUUCCCCAAGCAACAUUUAGUUCUCAUCGUUUACAGCGUGGACUAC
rnacentral:misc_RNA from 1 species